UGCAAUUGGGUCAAGUCCAAAUAGGUCUCUCUGACGUCCUCCACACGAAGGUUAGCCACAGAGGAAAGAGGAAAAGCAAACAAAGCCGCAGCCAUGCUUCACCGGCGGUCUUCUUGCUAUCCAUUCAUCAAUCUCUGAUCUCCUCCGAAACUCUGAAUUCCAUUUGGGCAUUGCGUUGGGCCUGUGAUAUCUUCCUUUUGACACUUGCAGUUUCCUUUUCAUCUCUUUUGAUGAUUCUUGCUAACUCCUUUGGAGGCCUCACACACCAUUGUCGCCCUAAAGCUCUCGAAGAAGCCAUUUCUACCACUUUAUGUGCCACCUUAUUACCCUCCCUUGAGGUCCAGAUUUUUAGAAAGAAUCAUGGCGUCCCUCACGGCAUGAGCUUUAGUAGCUAAUGGAGAUAUUGUUUUGAAGUUCAUUGUAGAUCCAGAUAGAACCUUACCAUCACAGUUUUUUAUCACUACUGUCCAUGCUGCUUGACCAGUUUCUUUAUCAAAGGAUGCAUCAAUGCUAAUCUUCAUCCAACCAUCUGGCGGUGGUCUCCAGGCUUUAUAGGGCAUGAAUGAGUUGGAGAUUGGAAAGGAAGCUAGCAAAAAUGGAAGGAACACAAGGAAUUGAGGAGAUGACGAGCGAGAAGUCACGCGGUCGCAUGGAUCACGCGACCGCGUGAAAUGGAAGAAAUUAGAGUGACGCGAUCGCGUGCCUGACGCGACUGUGCGGAAUGGAAGCUAUAACAGGACUAUGCAUCAGGGUCUAAGCAAUCAA